rnacentral:rRNA from 1 species
AGAACGAACGCUGGCGGCAUGCCUAAUACAUGCAAGUCGAACGAACACUUCGGUGUUAGUGGCGCACGGGUGCGUAACGCGUGGGAAUCUGCCCUUGGGUUCGGAAUAACAGUUGGAAACGACUGCUAAUACCGGAUGAUAUCGAAAGAUCAAAGAUUUAUCGCCCAGGGAUGAGCCCGCGUAGGAUUAGCUAGUUGGUGAGGUAAAGGCUCACCAAGGCGACGAUCCUUAGCUGGUCUGAGAGGAUGAUCAGCCACACUGGGACUGAGACACGGCCCAGACUCCUACGGGAGGCAGCAGUAGGGAAUAUUGGACAAUGGGCGCAAGCCUGAUCCAGCAAUGCCGCGUGAGUGAUGAAGGCCUUAGGGUUGUAAAGCUCUUUUACCCGAGAUGAUAAUGACAGUAUCGGAGAAUAAGCCCCGGCUAACUCCGUGCCAGCAGCCGCGGU